UAUUGUUAUAUGUAGAGAGAAGGUCAAGAUAAGAACCACAUGUUAGGGACCCGUGAAGGAGAAUUGAGGUUCACGAGCCCAUUGCUUUCCAAUGGGCGGCCACCCCUGAGGUGGAUUGUUGUCUGGUUGGUUCGAAGAGAAUAAUGUUUCUUGUCUUCUAGCUAGUAGGGGGAAAUUAAAAUAGGAUUAAUGAAUUUUUAUUUUUUAUAUUUACAAUAUAUUUUCCAACGAGCCUCAUCUACUGAAAUUGCGAGGAGAAACCCAUCAUCCUCUGGAGCUGCAAGGGAGAAACAAGUAGUCCAAAACCCAGAAUAUGGUCUAUGGAGGCCAAAUUACUGAAACUCUCUCAGAAGGGGUAUUGAGUCUAGCUUCUGGUUUUCACACUUCGAGUGAGUAAGGCUGAUACACCCGUCCAAGAGGUGAGCGGCGAGCAAGCUGAAAAAUCAACACAGGAGACGCCCGUUCUUGAAGAAAAGCCAGCCACCAGCGAAGAAGCUGAAGUAGUAGUGCACGACGGGGAAGACGAUGAAGAUGAAGAAGAAGAAGAGCAUGAAAAAACCCUUGACGAGGAAACUCAGAAUAAAGUGAAAGAUGAAGAAAAUGCAGGGUCACCAAUUAUUGGUGAGGCUGAACCAGCUGCUUCUUUUGAUGAUGAAGCAGAAGCUGAAGUUGAA
rnacentral:misc_RNA from 1 species